rnacentral:rRNA from 1 species
AUGUGGACCUGUCUUCGUCAGCGCUAUGAGCCCUCUGGUGAUGCCUUAUACCUUUCUGUGGUUCGUCAGGAGCAUGCUCUUCAGCAGGGUGACUCUACUGUUGAUGACUUUUAUGCACAGAGUUCUGCUAUCUGGCGCCAGCUUGAUUCUCUCCGCAGUGCUGGUUGUCGUACUUGCCCCUGCUGCCAGGCUGUCCAGGCCGAUUUGGAGUUUCAUCGCGUCUACGAGUUCUUGUCUCGGCUCCGUAAGGAGUUUGAGCCCCGGCGUGCUCAGUUGCUUGCUCGUGGCCGUAUUUCUCUCAUGGAGGCGCUUUCAGAGAUUCGUGCUGAGGAGACUCGCCUACGUGGUGCUGGUUUGCUGGAGGUUCCCUCUGUGCUCGCUACUCGGGUUUCUUCCACUCCACCUGCUGCACCGCCUCAUUCUCGCUCGAGUGCUCCGCCGCUCUUGCCCACUCCUUCUGGAGGCUCAGGUCGCCCCCGUUCACAUUGUGACUACUGCAAGAAUGAUGGUCAUAUUGAGUCACAGUGCUACACCAAGCGGAAACACCUGCGCAAGGCGCGAUCAUCAGGGACUGCGUCAUCUCCCUCGCCAGCUUCAGCCAUUGCUUUGACCGAGCAGGAUAUUCUGAGACUUAAGCGUCUGCUCGCGGCUUCAGGUUCUUCCUCGACGGGUACUGCUGCUUCUGUGACUGAUGCUUCCCGCACUGAGCACUCGCCCUCUACACAGUCAGGUACAUCCCCAUGGGUUCUGGAUUCUGGAGCUUCUUUUCAUAUGUCUUCUCAUUCUUCCGCUUUGUCUUCUCUUCGCUCGCUGGAUUCUCCUGUUCAUGUCUUUACUGCUGAUGGUACUCCACUUUCUGUUGCCAGUAGAGGCCAUCUUUCUACUCCUUCUUAUUCUGUUCCUGAUGUUGCUCAUGUUCCUCGACUUACCAUGAAUCUGUUUUCUGCCGGUCAACUUACUGAUUCUGGUUGUCGUGUCAUCCUUGAUGUUGACUCUUGUUCUGUCCAGGAUCGUCGCACGCACACUCUGGUUGGGGCUGGCCCUCGCCGCCGUGAUUCUCAGGGUCUUUGGGAGUUGGACUGGCUUCAUGUUCCUUCCGCUGCCACCACCAUCGCCAGUUCCUCCGCUGCUGUCGCUUCUGUUACUGGUUCCUUCAAGUAG